GCUUGCAGGCUGAGGUAGUAGGUUGUAUAGUUUAGAAUUACACCACGGGAGAUAACUGUACAACCUCCUAGCUUUCCCUGAGGCACGC
rnacentral:pre_miRNA from 1 species